rnacentral:rRNA from 1 species
CUACCAAGGCGACGACGGGUAGCCGGCCUGAGAGGGCGACCGGCCACACUGGGACUGAGACACGGCCCAGACUCCUACGGGAGGCAGCAGUGGGGAAUAUUGCACAAUGGGCGGAAGCCUGAUGCAGCGACGCCGCGUGAGGGAUGACGGCCUUCGGGUUGUAAACCUCUUUCAGCAGGGACGAAGCGAGAGUGACGGUACCUGCAGAAGAAGCGCCGGCCAACUACGUGCCAGCAGCCGCGGUAAGACGUAGGGCGCGAGCGUUGUCCGGAUUUAUUGGGCGUAAAGAGCUCGUAGGCGGCUUGUCGCGUCGACUGUGAAAACUCAGGGCUCAACCCUGAGCUUGCAGUCGAUACGGGCAGGCUCGAGUUCGGUAGGGGAGACUGGAAUUCCUGGUGUAGCGGUGAAAUGCGCAGAUAUCAGGAGGAACACCGGUGGCGAAGGCGGGUCUCUGGGCCGAUACUGACGCUGAGGAGCGAAAGCGUGGGGAGCGAACAGGAUUAGAUACCCUGGUAGUCCACGCUGUAAACGUUGGGCGCUAGGUGUGGGGGGCCUCUCCGGUUCUCUGUGCCGCAGCUA